rnacentral:snoRNA from 1 species
AAGACUAUACUUUCAGGGAUCAUUUCUAUAGUCUGUGACUGGAGAAGUUUCUCUGAACGUGUAGAGCACCCGAAACCACGAGGAGGAGACGCAGUGUUCUUUCCUGAGCGUGAAGCUGGCAUUUGGUGUUGCCUGUGCAGCUACCACUUGCCCUUGAUGAUCGUUCUCCUCUCUCUGAUUGAGAGAGGCAGAGGGAGAGAACACCGUCUGAGUGGUU